rnacentral:rRNA from 1 species
GACGAACGCUGGCGGCGUGCCUAAUACAUGCAAGUUGAGCGAUGAAGAUUGGUGCUUGCACCAAUUUGAAGAGCAGCGAACGGGUGAGUAACGCGUGGGGAAUCUGCCUUUGAGCGGGGGACAACAUUUGGAAACGAAUGCUAAUACCGCAUAACAACUUUAAACAUAAGUUUUAAGUUUGAAAGAUGCAAUUGCAUCACUCAAAGAUGAUCCCGCGUUGUAUUAGCUAGUUGGUGAGGUAAAGGCUCACCAAGGCGAUGAUACAUAGCCGACCUGAGAGGGUGAUCGGCCACAUUGGGACUGGGACACGGCCCAAACUCCUACGGGAGGCAGCAGUAGGGAAUCUUCGGCAAUGGACGAAAGUCUGACCGAGCAACGCCGCGUGAGUGAAGAAGGUUCUCGGAUCGUAAAACUCGGUUGGUAGAGAAGAACGUUGGUGAGAGUGGAAAGCUCAUCAAGUGACGGUAACUACCCAGAAAGGGACGGCUAACUACGUG